ACGGAAGGCAGCAGUGGGGAAUAUUGGGCAAUGGACGAAAGUCUGACCCAGCGACGCCGCGUGAGGGAAGAAGGUCUUCGGAUUGUAAACCUUAGUUAUCGGGGAAGAAGAAAGUGACGGUACCCGAAGAGAAAGCCACGGCUACUACGUGCCAGCAGCCGCGGUAAUACGUAGGUGGCGAGCGUUAUCCGGAUUUACUGGGUGUAAAGGGUGUGUAGGCGGGACUGCAAGUCAGAUGUGAAAACUAUGGGCUUAACUCAUAGCCUGCAUUUGAAACUGUGGUUCUUGAGUGUCGGAGAGGUAAAUGGAAUUCCCGGUGUAGCGGUGAAAUGCGUAGAGAUCGGGAGGAACACCAGUGGCGAAGGCGAUUUACUGGACGACAACUGACGCUGAGACACGAAAGCGUGGGGAGCAAACAGGAUUAGAUACCCUGGUA
rnacentral:rRNA from 1 species